UGGGGAAUAUUGGACAAUGGGUGAGAGCCUGAUCCAGCCAUGCCGCGUGCAGGAAGAAGGCGUUAUGCGUUGUAAACUGCUUUUGCCAGGGGAUAAAAAGACCGUGCGCGGUUAAUUGAAGGUACCUGGUGAAUAAGCCACGGCUAACUACGUGCCAGCAGCCGCGGUAAUACGUAGGUGGCAAGCGUUGUCCGGAUUUAUUGGGUUUAAAGGGUGCGUAGGUGGCCCUGUAAGUCAGUGGUGAAAUAUCUCAGCUUAACUGAGAGGGUGCCAUUGAUACUGCAGGGCUUGAGUACAGAUGAGGUAGGCGGAAUUGACGGUGUAGCGGUGAAAUGCAUAGAUAUCGUCAAGAACACCGAUAGCGAAGGCAGCUUACCAAGCUGUAACUGACACUGAGGCACGAAAGUGUGGGGAUCAAACAGGAUUAGAUACCCCCGUAGUCCCUGAGCGGGCUGGCAAGGCGCAU
rnacentral:rRNA from 1 species